CGGGCAGGGGCUGGGACGGGACAAGAACAGGGACAGGGGCAGAGGCAGGGAGAGGGGCAGAGAAGGACUGGGACAGAGAUAAGACAGGGGUAAGGACACGGAUGGGACAAGGGCAGGGACAGGAUCGUGGGCAGGACGAGGACGGGGGCAGAACGGAGACAGGAAUUGGACAGGAGCAGGAAUAGGACAGAGGCAGGAGCGGGGAUGGGAGCAGGACACAGAGGCCAAGCCACCCCUGGCCACCUGAGGAUCCCUCCUGCAGGCCCCUGGCCCAGGUUCUGGCAGCCCCUUGUGUCCAGGUUGGAACAGGGGCAGCUCUGAGGGUCUUUUCUGUGUCCUGGCUCUUGGAAGGGAGACCUGCAGCCUCCCUCAUUUUGGGGGAUCUGCUUUGCAUUGGAUUGUUCUCCUUUGCCCGCUGCUCCUGUCACAGUACACAUCCAUCACUUUGCAGCCAUGCCAACGACUUGCUGAAAGCCAAGGUGGAGUUGUUUCAGAACCAGUACCACAAGAUGCAGCUGAGUAGCGUGGACCUCCCACAGCACAGCUCCCCACCAGAGCUGGUACCCAUACUGGUAUGGAGUGGGACAGAUUGGGAAGAGUGACUUAACCCCAACCCCAGCUUGAAAACAGGUGUGCUGGGCCUCUAGGUGUAGGUGUGGGCUCACUCACUCUUCUGCAUGCCAGGCUGACUGAUUUGAAGGAGAAACUGAACACACAGGGAGGAUGAUGCCGGGAUGCUUUGAUUGUCCUCAUCCCAGCUCAUCCAGACCUUUGUGCAUCCACACCCAGAUCCCUGUUGCCAAGUGCACGUUGUUCCUCUGCUAUCUAAUCACUAACUUACUUUCUUUGGGAAUACAUGAAAAUGCAGCAGCAGUUGGCCAGUGCUGGUUUGGCAUCUGCGUGGUUGCUCAAUUGUUGCAGACACGUGGCAGGUCCAGAUCCAGGCUGCGCAGUUCAUCAGCCUACUUUGGAGCCCUGACAGUGGAGCAGAAGUGUGAGCUGGCUGAGCGGGAGCUGCUGGACGUGAAAAGUGACAUUCAGAAGAUGGAGGAGGAUUCGGAGGAGACCUUGCAUGACCUCGAGGCAGUCAUACAAGAAGCAGAUGCUUGGUGGGCUGAUGUUAAGAAAGUUGUCAACGACUUUGAGGAAGACAUUGUCAAAACCAUCUCCAACGAGAAAGGGAGCAUCACAGCUUCUGAGAAGCUGUUGAGAUACCUGGAGGAGAAGAACCACCAGAGGGAUCUGAUGAGACAGAAGCUGCGCUUAGAAAGCAAUUUUCUCAGGAGCUACAAGAAGAAGCUGCAGCAGCAGCUCAGGCAGAAGGAGCAGGUGGGAGACAUGCUCCAUGAGGUCCAUGCAGAGCUGCUGCAGGUUAAGAAAACACAGUAUGAGGAGGAGAUUGAUAAGAAGAACAAGGAGCUGCAGCAGCUAAAGCUGGCCUUAGAGAAGAUCCAGAUCCUCAACUUCUGGAAGAAAAAGCUGCAUAAUGCCAUGGAAACAUCUACAGUUCUGAUGAAAGACAUCUCCCAGAGGAAAGAGAUGCUGGAGAAGAUCGAAAGAAAUACUACUCUUGUGAAGGAGCAACAAGCCAAAGAGGAAAGACUCAUUGGGUGGCUGCAGAAGCAGCUGUCAGACUACAGCACCCCUCCUGUGAUGAAUUACGUGCAGACAAUGAUUGCUGUUGCUGACCUGGAAAAGAGUAUCAAGGCUUGGGAGAGGAAGGUGGCAAUUGCUGAGGUGAGGGAGAUGGGACCAGGAGUGGGGCUGGGUGCUGUCUCCUGCUGUGCUGCUGCAGGCAGCGCUGGAGGCUCUUCCUGUUGCCUGCUCCCUACUCCCAGAACAGAGACUGAAUUUUAACAGCUGAGCUUGGAGGUGAGGAUGCAGCAUGUAACUCGACAGGCUGCUCCAUCAGGCUGGGCUCAUGCUGGAACCUGAAGGGUGUGUAAGAAGGGGACACACAGUGCCUGGGACGUGUCUGGUUGCAGCACCCCAGCCAGCCGAUGGCUCCCCAGUGCUGGUGCUUCUCUAUGAUGAUCUCAAACAUUUCUUCCUCAUCUGUAUCUUGACUGUUCCCUGCCUGGGAGGAGAUGUGGAGAUAAGAGACGAGCAUUGUCAAAGCCCGUGGGCUGCAGUGUGCAUUGAGUGCAGGUGGGAACAGGGUGGGUGCAGGGGAAUGCCAUACAGCAGCUUUCUCCCCAGCACAUCACUGCUGCCUGAACUCAUUAAGAUCUUCUCCUUUCCCCCCUUGCAGAUGACCUUGCAAAGCCACCACAGAGCAUGGAACCAAGUCAAGAUGUCUGGUAACCUGCACCUGCCUUGUGUGAUGCUUCAGGGCAAGCAGUGGAAGCUGCAGGGGGAGCCGGCCUUGG